GCACAAGCGGUGGAGCAUGUGGUUAAUUCGACGCAACGCGAAGAACCUUACCAGGGCUUGACAUCCCCUGACCGCGUAUGAAAGUACGUUUUCACCCUCGGGUGACAGGGAGACAGGUGGUGCAUGGUUGUCGUCAGCUCGUGUCGUGAGAUGUUGGGUUAAGUCCCGCAACGAGCGCAACCCCUACGUUUAGUUGCUAACAGGUGAAGCUGAGCACUCUAGACGAACUGCCGUUGACAAAACGGAGGAAGGUGGGAUGACGUCAAAUCAUCAUGCCCCUUAUGUUCUGGGCUACACACGUGCUACAAUGGCCGGUACAGACGGAGGCGAAGCCGCGAGGCGGAGCAAAUCCGAAAAAGCCGGUCUCAGUUCGGAUUGCAGGCUGCAAUUCGCCUGCAUGAAGUCGGAAUCGCUAGUAAUCGCGGAUCAGCAUGCCGCGGUCGAAUACGUUCCCGGGCCUU
rnacentral:rRNA from 1 species